rnacentral:lncRNA from 1 species
UGAUGUUGAGGCCGAACCUACUGGGAACUUUGUUGUAGUUCUCACCCCACUAUUUCCACAGAGCCGGGACCGAGCGAGCCGGCGAGCGACCGAGGUAAAGGUAUCGCGUCUUAGUCAGAGGCCACCAGAGUUGGGUUUACAUUUUGUAGUAGUUACCCUUUAUCAUCUUUUGUACUUGAUGGUUAGUGAUGUAAAGAAAAGAAUGUAAUGUGUAUUUUGAGGUAAAUGGAUGUAAGAAAGAAAUGAUGAAAUGAAAUGUAAGGAAUUCGAAAAUGUACAAGAUGAAUGCAAUGUAUAUGAUAAAAAAUGAAUCAUAGUACAAGUGAAUGUU